rnacentral:rRNA from 1 species
UACGUAGGUGGCAAGCGUUACUCGGAAUCACUAGGCGUAAAGCGCAGGUAGGAGGUUUGGCAAGUCUGUUGUGAAAGCUCCCGGCUUAACUGGGAGAGGUCAACGGAAACUACCAGGCUGGAGUGCGGUAGAGGUAGCUGGAAUUCCCGGUGUAGCGGUGAAAUGCGUAGAUAUCGGGAGGAAUACCUAUGGCGAAAGCAGGCUACUGGACCGUCACUGACUCUGAUCUGCGAAAGCUAGGGGAGCAAACAGG